rnacentral:lncRNA from 1 species
UGAAAUAAAAAUAGAUAAUGCCGUUUUGAAAAAAACGAUCGAAGUAUGCAGCGGAAGCAAGUGAUCAAGCAAGGGUUUAAGAAUGGAAAUGGAGGCACGAUAGAUGUGUGCACACAAGGUAUCGAUAAAAGGAAGGUUUAACCUAGCAAAUCGAUAGUCACAGAACCGAGCACUUUGAUCACAGAUCUCACGCCCUUUGCUCUGAUACCAUGAAUAAAUCUACACUAUGAGAUCAACACAAACAGUAACAAGAGAUUGGAAGAUCAGAUGAGCAGUCGCACUCUGGAGUUGGGAAAUAAGGGUUUCCCCGAUUUUCAAUAUAACAAAAGCAAAAGAGUUUUUACAACACUUCUUUAACCAAAUUGAAAAGAUUAACCUAAUACAAUAUAUAUUAACCUAACUGUAUUGUACUAGUAAUUCAACAAAAAAGGAGGCCUACGCUGGGCCUAUGAGUUGCAAGAUAAAUAUAAAAGAUCAAAAAUAGAGUGUUCAACAGCAUGAUCGCCUAGGCUGCAAAACUAUGGUUUGGUUUGUAUAGCGUACAAUGUAGAUAAAGGAUCCUUGCUGUCAGAUCGCUACGAAGAACCAUAAAUCAUACUCAACCAAUAAUCAAGUGAGAAAUACUAAAAAAAUUCUAAGGUAAGAAAAUGUGGUAUAGAAAUGGAAGAUUUGUACCUCUUUCUUUAAUUUAAGCUCACGGUGGUUCACAAUCGUCUCUUGCACUGUAAAUGCAGAUAUCCCCAUGUGGCAGAUAAACAACACCAGAUAAAAUUGGGUGUAGCAGAGCCUUGAGCAAGAUUCUGAAUUGGGUGUAGCAAAAAUUUCAAUACAAUUUUUUUUUUAAAAACGAUAUUAAACUGAUCGAACAAGCUAUUAAGAUCGGUUAUAUCAGAAUUAAUAUUCAAAACCCUCAAACUCCUCAAGUCCUCCCUAAAAUAAAUAAAUAAAAUGAGAUUUUUUUUUUAAAAGCUAAAAAAAAUAAUGAGAUUUGGACAGCAAAAACAAUGAUGUGAGAUGCAGGGGUGGGCAGAGCCAAGGUUUAGCGGCUUCUCAACUAAAUUCUUAUACACAUAUUUAAUAAUUUUGAAUCGCAGGAUUUACAUUCACUGCACACAGAUUUAAAGAUUGAAAUUUAGGGUUUUAUAAACCACUCACGUUAUAUUUGGAAUCUAGAAAUCCGAUGCCCAGAUGCUCGGAAUGAUCUUGAUCGAUGGUAUCCGUCCGGCGAUGAACACGUUGAGGAGGUGAGGAAGAAAUCGAGUAAGAGAAAUGGAGGGAAGCUGGAAUAUUGGUAGGAGGAAGGCUGGAAUCGAUGGAUGAAAUUAGGGUUUUGAGAAUUUAGGGAUUUAAGAUUUUAUGGGAUUUGAAAAUAAAGUUAAAAUCAUUUAGGGGGGUUUCUAAAAAUAAUCACCGGAUUAAAGUCAAGAAGAACCUAAGAUAUAAUUUACCCAGUCGUCAACGUCUUCUUGGGAUUCCGGCGAUUCUCUGUCGAGAGUUUGUUUGGAGAUGACGGUGGAAGCAGCGGUGGGAUACGCACUGAUUGCUCUUGGACCUGCUCUCUCCAUAUUCGUCACUUCAAUAUCUAAGAAGCCAUUCCUCAUCCUCACCGUCCUCUCAAGGUCUCUAAUUGAUGUGUUUUUUGUUUUCCCCCAAUUUCGUGAUAUUAUCUACUUAUUUCGAAAAUUGAGGGAUUUGAGGUUUCUUGAUGGGAUUAUUGAUAACGGAAAUUAUUGAUUAUUUCACGAAUUAAUGAAGUUUAUAGAAAAACAAAAAAUCUCAAACAUUUAUGGAGCCAUUAUGUCUAAAAACUGAU